rnacentral:sRNA from 1 species
UCUGCCCAGAAGUUUCUCCAGGAAGCAUCCCUGACCCCAACUGGUGCUCUCAGCAUGUCACAAGGGAGCUUGCUGUCCUCUGCCUUUCAAUUGGGAUUAAUUCUGCUCCAGCACAGACCAAUGAGAUGACAGGACUGAAGUCGGAUAAAAGGCACGCUGCUACAAGCCAACGGCGGUGAGCGGACAGCCGCUGUUUGAUUCGACUCCAGCGGCUUCCAUUCGCACAGCAGGAAGGCGUGCUGAUUCUAAUCUUGUUUACAGGCAGACUUCUGGCUCUGGGUAGUGUCAAGUGAAGGGAUGCUUCUCCGAGAAAAGAAAACGUGAGCACAAUCUCCAUCAAAGGCCUACACUGAGUUUCAACACAGAAAAUGGACUGGAAGACCAGGGCACCAACAAAUGGCGUGAACGGAAGGAGGUUGUGAGCUGGGGUCUGUAACCAGCACCCACCCUUCUCUUCUCAAGGGCGUCUAGGGUAACAUCAGUAUCUUUCAGUAUCUGAAAGUGACCGGUACGCGUAGUGGGGUUCCUUAGAGAACACACUGGACGCCAGUGGGAUUUCCUAAGACGUCCAGGCUUGCAUAGAAACACCACGUGAGCUAUUCCUCUGAAAUAGGCCCAUGUUUGCAGAACUCGGGGUCACUGUGUGGGAAAGCAGUGUGCUGGGCUGGAGAAGCGUUUCUUUUCAAAACUCACUUCUGAGAAAGUGGUGUCUGCCUGUGCUGCUGGCUGUCAACCUGUCCCACGGACAUGCUGCGAUCUGAUCUUACAGCAACGGUUGUGACAGCAGCAAUUGUCCCAUCCCUUACGUCUUCAGUGAGGAAACGGUGAGCAAAGAUGAAGGGAGAGGGAUUAUUUCUUGUGUUACUGUUUUAUGUAUGAAUGAGGAAUUUUAAAGUUAUGAAAACCGCGUUUGGUUGUUUUCAAACCUCACAUUACAUCUACAACACUAAUAUUAUUCAUCUUAUGGAGGAAACUGCACAAAAAUACACACAUGGAGUCUAGAAUUCCCCAAGGACACCAAAGCUGCCUGGACUCCUGGCACAGUGUUAUGAUAUCUCCUGUGAAGUUCCUCCCACGUGGUGCUUCAAGACAUCGCGUUUCCGUCAGCCAAUGAGGUGCAAUGCCGCAUAAGGAGCUCUACAGUAGCCUUGUAGGCAGUGACUCUGAGAGGAAACAUGUGACCUGUUUGUUAUAAAAAUUACCUUUUCCUCAACACUUUCCAACAACCACCUAUGGUUGGUUGGAGCCCACAGAUGACGAGGGACAUUGGUACUACUUUGCUCAUUUAAAGAAUUUCCCCACAAACCAGGUCUGGAGGAGGAGGGACUUAACACUUGGUCUCAGUCUACUUUUGGAUUUAAUGAAAUACAGUGACAGUGGGAGGGAGAGUCACAUAAAAAUAAAUAUCGUGGGACGUUCUUAAAAGGUAAUUGUACGCAUGGAUGCCUUCCCGCUAGUGUUUCCCAACCAAUGUCCUCACUGAAUACACAAGGGAGUUUCUGCUCUUCCUGGGGUGGUUGGGGCACCCUGAAAACCGGUUACAAUGCUGCUGCCGAGGGUCAGCCAAAGUUCCCUGAUGCAGAAGCAACUCUCUGCCGUUUGGAUUGACAGAGAAGAGGGAAAAAAAAGAAGAACUCAGAUUCCUUUUCUGUGGUCUUGCUCUGUUCUCGUGAGAGAUCUUCCCAUGUAGCCCGAGGUGACCUUGGACUCUCAGGCUCCAGCCUCUACCUUCUCAGUACCAGGGUCACAGGCCUGUGCCACCACACAUUGCUUUGGUUUUGUUUCUAGUUCAAGGCGCUUCUUCAAACUGUGGGGGCCUGCUUACUACACAAACGACUACGGAACUCAGUGAUUUACCAUCCCUGUCCUUUUAUAUGUGACGUGGCUCUAAUUUGCCUUGGGCACAAUAUUUCACUUAAGUCUAGCACAGUAGUUCCCAACCUUCCUAAUGCCGGUGACCCUUUAAUACAGUUCCUCAUGUCCUGUAGACCCUCAACCAAUUAUUUCAUGGCUACUUCAUAACUAACUUCAUAACUACUGUUAUGAGUUGUAGUGUAAAUCUCAGUGUUUUCCCGUGGUCUUAGGUAAUCCCUGUGAGGGUUGUGAACGCUAGUCUGGUAUGUAGUGGUCACAUUAAUCGUUCACCUCAUCUGAGCAUGGUCAAGGGCAGCACUAGGCACCACACCCCAGCUCCUGCUCAUUCCCAAACUGGCCCUGGGCUUGGCGAGGGACCAAGCCUCUGGAAUCUUGGGGAGAGAUUGGGAAGUCGGGUUCUUCCCAGUCAUGGUGGCCUGAAGAUGUGACUGGGAGAGGGGUGUGCUCUGUCCUUUUGGGGAUUUCCCUGGCUGCAGCAAAAUAUGGCUAUGACUGGCCAGACAGGAAAGCCAUUGUACUCUGUGCCCAACCCCUUCAUUCUCUAAGUCCGUUUGCCACAGCUGCUCAGUGCUGCUCUGAGAAACACCGACAAGGACCCCUCAACCUCUGUGGCAGGUUACUUUGGAGCGUGCUGAAACCCUUUCCCUUCCUAGGUGUGUUAUAAUGCAAAGCAGGUGUCAGGGCUCUGUGGUGGCCUCGACAGUGCACAUGAAAGCCAUUUAGUCACUACUAGGUUAGAUGCUAUUUCUAUACCUUUAACUUCAGUGUGUAUAUGGCAAAUCAGAAUUGAGAGCUUAUUAUUUCCCAAUGUUAGCCUGUAUAUAUGUUUGGCUUGCAUAUGUUUACAAACGAUAUGGCUUUUUUUUUUCAUUAGCAUGGGCAUAGAAAAGACAUCUUCCCUAUCUUUGCCUUCGUAAGGGCAGACAGUUCCACUUGUAAAGGUGUUCAUCUCUCUGAUGUCUUUGCUCACCCCUUUGAAUGAGCCCCAAGAACACUGGGUCAGAGUCCCAUAUAUGGUCUACACCAGAGCCUCCAUCCUCCUUGGCACCUUUCAGGGUAGUUCAUAAUGUAUGUGCCAACAAACAUGAUUGAACUCUUUCUCAAAGAGCAAGCCAAAUAAUUAGAAAAUUAUUCCCCCUAUAAAAAUUGAAAUAAUUUUUAAGACAAUCACUAGGGAAAUUUCCAAAAUAACUAACCUGUUUAUCUUAAAUUUGGGGGAGGACUCAGCAACCCAAAGAUGUUAACUUGCAAGUUGUACUGGUCUAUCCUGUCGAAACUCAUAUACACUGUGACUGUGAAGAACCCACGGAGGGCGAAGCAACAGAGGAGGUAGGUGUAAACUUCAGGGUUCUGUUUACAGGCUGCACAGCUUCCGAAAGUCACUUAGCCCGGCACAGCUUUCUGCAUCUUUCCUAACACUCUCCCAAGGUUGUGGGGAUGAUCAGAUAACAUUCUACACAGAUGGGUUUCAUAAACUAGAGAACAGUGGUUCUCAGCCUUCCCAGUGCUGUGACCCUGAUUUAGUACAGUUCAUGUUGUGGUGAGCGCCAACUACAAAAUUGUUUUCUAUGUAAAUUGAUUUGCUGCUUCAUAACCGUGAUUUUGUUAUUAUUGUGAGGUAAUGUAAUUAUCAGUGCUUUCCAAUGGCCUUAGGUGACCCUGUGACAGGGUCUUUUGACUCUAAAAGAAUCCAGAGCCACAGGUUGAAAACUGCUGCUGUGGAUGCUCCUACUUGGGUAGUGAAUUAGAAUGAAUUAGACAAAAGAAAGGAAAGCUCUAGUUACUUUUCUGUUGCUGUGAUAAAUGCCAUGACCAAAAGCAACUUCAUAUUUCAGGGAAGAAGGAAGAAGCACAUACACACUGCAGCUACUAUGAUGGCCACUUACUGAGUCUAUAUAAGAGGCAGAGACCUGAGGUAGCUAACCUGGUCUAUCUGGCCACGUGACCAGCUCAACCUUAUUAUGACAUAGUAAGAAUCCUUCACGAAGUGGGAGAGUCAUGCUUUUCCACCUCCCAGAACCAUGGUCAAAUAAACCUCUGAGUUAGCUUCACAUGACUGCCUCGAAAUGCAUGAGGUAUUACCUCAGAAGUGAAAAGGUUUAUCAUGGUUCACAGAGAAUGCGGUCCAAAGCUGGGCAGACCCGCUGCUUCGGGUCUCUGGCUGAGGUGUCAAGUGGCAGUGAUAGGAGACACGUGAGAUAGAAAAUGGCUCAUCUCACUGUCAGAGAAAAUAUUCCCAGAAUCCCUUUGUAAGAGCACGGCCCACUGACCCAAGACCUCCACUCAUUUUGCCUCUUGGAGAUUCCACCAUCUCCCAAGAGUGCUACCCUGGAACCAAACCUUUAAUAAGUGGGCUUUCAGGGACACUUAUCCAAACACUGAAGCUGUUUUCUUUCUCUCUGUCAAGCAACAGAAAAUACACUAAGGGUGUUUUGAUCAAACUGUCCCAAACCCUGGCUAACUACCCAGGCUACAAGGAAUACUGUAGCUAUAAUAGAUGUUCUCUCCUGUUCUGUCUCUAUUCUGAAGUGUGACUACAGGCCCAGUUUUGUGAGGGAUUCUCCGAGGAGUGCUUACAUUUGUAAUGGUCUUACCACAAGAUCAUCUUGCUCGAUGGUGUCUAGAACUAUGGCCCAGUGCACAAAUGCCUAUUCUGGUAGCUGCCCCACAUUCCAUUUCUCCAGACCCAGAGUCUUUUUGGUGGGUAGUACCUGCCUCUCUCCACCUAGACCCUUGCCAACCCUCUAUGAGAGGCACAAUGUCUCCAUGCUAGCUUUAAUACAGGUCCAGUCACUCAUCAUCCUACAAGGCCAGGCUCCAUUGGAAUUAAUAGGUGAUGUCCAAGGUACAGUGAUGGGAACCUCUAGGGAGUGACAUGGAGACGAUAGGAAGGAGCAUUCUGAGAUGCUCCAAUGGCCACGGCCACUUCCCAAUAGACUCGUAUUCUUGAAAACUGCAGGGGAACACCUAAAGGCUAAGAAACCCUGAAGGCAUGAGGCACUCACUAGAAACCACAUCCCGGAGCUGAGUUUGAGUUCCCUUCCUCUCGAUCUUGGUAUUUGAUCCUGUGGACAUGGUAAGUCACCAGAGUGAUAACGAGACCACAGGGAUGAGCUUGGGUCUGAUAACGAGACCACAGGGAUGAGCUUGGGUCAGAGGUGUGCAUACGUAUGCUGCAGCUAACUCAUGUGUUGUUCAAUCUUCUGUUUGUUAGCAGCACUAGGUGAACUGCCAGGCUGUUGGACAGGUCUGGUUACUGGCGGCCAGCCCUCGGGACCCUAAGGAGUAGUGCUUCCGACCCUUAUCAAAAACGUCACAGAACUUUAGCCUACAAGACACCGGAAUGCUUUUGCCUGCUACAAUUGCUAAGCCUGGAGCCAUCUGAGCAGCCUUUUAUCAUUGGUCUACACUGAGGCCUGAAGCCUCAUGUGUGUGGAUGGAGACUCUGGAGCUCAAAGGUACCUGACAUGAAAAGGUCACUCACCUUCAAGCAAGACAAAUGGGCUACCAUUUACAACUCCCAAAGGCAGCCUGGCAAACAGUGAGUCUCGUGGCAGUGUCUGUGAGACAUCCAGAAAAGGACACAGAUAACACCAAUGCCACAAUGCACAAAAAAAGACACAGGGUAUCUGAACGCCAUAGAAAACAGGUAUGAGUCACAGGUACUCCCCUGCCUCAACCAGGCUCAGUGAAGAUUUUCUUCCUAGGAAAAGGUGGGGUCCACUUAGGACACGAUUGGAGCCUUUAUUCUAAGCAACCAGUCUUAGAAUAUGGCUUGUCAUUGAGGAACUCAAUUUAAAAAAAGAUGUCUGCCUUUUAUACUGGGAUCUGGUGCGUGUGCUCAUGGGCUCUCUCUUCCUCCCCACCUUCGGAUCAGACUCACAGUUACUGUGGCUGUGGAGUUUUGAGGCUCUGUAAAUCCAAAGGGGAAGAAGAGGGUGGAUGGGGACUCUGGGCAGAUUGUCUAGGCUCACAGAACCACCACCCUUCGGCCCUCACUGGCUGAGGCACCACCGACUCUCCCACCCCUUCCCUCGUAGAGGUAACAGUCAUGCCUCUCUUGCUGAAUGAAUGCUUGGGCUAAAAUCCUGGGCAACCGCACAGUGACAAGAACACACACACCCAAAAGCACAAAAUCCCUCUGGAGUCCCUCAGCGCACUGACUCACAACUCGGGGAUCAUAAAAAUCCCCUACAGAGUUACCCUUUCACCGUCUACCUGUAGCAAACAGCUGGAGAUGGUGGAGCCUGGUCUCCAAGCCAGAUUUCUCCAGAUCCUCUACUCCAUACCCUACCUUACCUGACUCACAGGACACUCCACGGGGAAAUCCUCUAGCUUCCAGCUUUCACUCUAAGGGAUCAGGGCCACCACAGUGUCUGAGAGCUGGGACUGCACUUCCUACUCCCUGCUUUGUCCUCCACUCUUCACAGGUUCCAAGCACUUUGCAUUUGUAAAUGUAAGUAGCUCUCUAGGUCCUCCUGAAUUGUCAUUUGACAGCUGGAAGCUGGGACACUGAACUCUCUCCUCCAGCCCGAAGCCAUUCCACUCCUCUGAGCAUUGUAGGCAUUCUUAACGCUACCUGGACAGUGAAAUCUACAUCAGGAGCCUCUUGGUGUCCCCACUGCCUGGUGGCACAAUUUAGCAAGGAUGCCUUUCUGUAAGCCCAGGGCUGGACUUGGUCAGGCUGCAACUCCAAAGCCAUAACCACCAGACUGCUGUCCCUUGGGGCAAUGCCAGCAGAAACUAUAAUUUCAGCAGAUCCCUGAGAAGCACAUGAAUAAUGUAUAUGAUGUAAUGGGCUUUGAGUUAUUAGAGGGGAAUGGGGCUGGGACAGAUAAAUUAGACCUUAACAUUUGCAGCUGACUUCCAGGACACAAGUCUUCAUGUGCAUUUAGUUGACUGUCCUUGUCAAAGACCCAUCACAGGCUUUCUUUGGAGAGAAAGCUGGACACUAACAGUUUUCUUGGUGCUGUUGCAGACAUGUUUGUAUUGGAAGCUAUGUCGUCCCUGAAGAGUAAGACACUAAGGUCUCUCAGCCUACUGUAAGACUUUGGAGAAAUCAGGACACCUUUCCCAAUUAGGACGCUUCCUGUUCGCUUCUGCUCCUCCAGUCCUAAAUAAAGCCUGUUCUGUUCUCAUUAAGUCCUUACUUAAUUAGCUCAAAUAAAAUCAGGGCUUAGUGUAGUACGGUCAGUCACGCUAUACCAGUCAAAACCUCAUCCAACCAGUUCUGUAAAUUAUGAUCGUAUGCAUCAGGGUGGCACUUUUACCAUUGCUAGUAUGAAUGACAGCUAUAUCCAUUGGACACAGACUCCCUAAUUACCCUGGUCCCCAUCAGUCCUUAUCAUCUCCUUACACGGCUGUUUUUGCUUAGCAACUCAUUCUUCAAGACUAAAAGCACUGCUCAGAAUAGAAGCAGACUUCUGUAGUCAAAAGCUAACCGUCUACCUACAGGGAGGAUAAUGAAAGCUCACGUGGUCAUUCAAAACAUCUGAGGACACAAGUCCUGUUGUGCAGUAAAAAAAUAUUCCUAAGCAUUUAACAUUUAGUCAAACCGAUGUUUACAAUGCACCCCCUCUCCUCUCCUUUCUUAAUCUCCCCCUUGUUCUCCUUCGAAUGAUUAUUUGAUUUUUAAAUGCCAGACGUUAAUAACACCCAGGUACUAAUCCUUUACUUAUUGGCUGUCAAGACCAAACCUGCCCAGGAAAAAUGUCUUUUCAGAAAAAUCUCUAGGGGGGAUAUUUUCUGGGGAGGCCUGAACUAAGUUGAUGCCUAUUCAUAUCAGAAACUACCUUAUGAAAUAAAUCCGAGCAAUAUUAACUUCUUUUUUUUCUUUUUUUUUUUUUUUUUUUUGGUUCUUUUUUUCGGAGCU